GACGAACGCUGGCGGCGUGCCUAACACAUGCAAGUCGAACGGACGAGGCCCCUUCGGGGACCGAGUUAGUGGCGAACGGGUGAGUAACGCGUGAGCAACCUGCCUUUCAGAGGGGGACAACAGUUGGAAACGACUGCUAAUACCGCAUGACGCAUGACGGGGGCAUCCCUGACAUGCCAAAGAUUUAUCGCUGAAAGAUGGCCUCGCGUCUGAUUAGCUAGUUGGUGGGGUAACGGCCCACCAAGGCGACGAUCAGUAGCCGGACUGAGAGGUUGACCGGCCACAUUGGGACUGAGACACGGCCCAGACUCCUACGGGAGGCAGCAGUGGGGAAUAUUGCGCAAUGGGGGGAAACCCUGACGCAGCAAUGCCGCGUGAAAGGAUGAAGGUUUUCGGAUUGUAAACUUCUUUUUAACUGAGGGACCGAAAGAAAUGACGGUACUCAGAGAAUUAAGCCCCCGGCUUAAACUACGUGCCAGCAGCCGCGG
rnacentral:rRNA from 1 species